CAGACCUCUGAUCAGAAAAGAUUACCCGCUGAGUUUAA
rnacentral:rRNA from 1 species